CAAUAGCGUAUAUUAAAGUUGUUGCAGUUAAAAAGCUCGUAGUUGGAUUUCUGGUGGGAGCGAUCGGUCUGGCGCUUAGCGCGAGUACUUGCAUCGUCUCCGGCCAUCCUUGGGGAGAGUCUGUCUGGCAUUAGGUUGUCGGGCAGAGGAUCCUCAUCGUUUACUGUGAAAAAAUUAGAGUGUUCAAAGCAGGCUUAUGCCGUUGAAUAUAUUAGCAUGGAAUAAUAAGAUAGGACUUAGGUACUAUUUUGUUGGUUUGCGCACCAAAGUAAUGAUUAAUAGGGACAGUUGGGGGUAUUCGUAUUCCGUUGUCAGAGGUGAAAUUCUUGGAUUUACGGAAGACGAACUACUGCGAAAGCAUUUACCAAGGAUGUUUUCAUUAA
rnacentral:rRNA from 1 species